rnacentral:rRNA from 1 species
UACGGAAGGUGCAAGCAUUAAUCGGAAUUAUUGGGCGUAAAGGGCGCGUAGGCGGAUUUGUAAGUCAGAUGUGAAAUACCGAAGCUCAACUUCGGUGCUGCAUUUGAAACUACAAAUCUAGAGGGUUGACGGAGAAAACGGAAUUCCACGUGUAGCGGUGAAAUGCGUGGAUAUGUGGAAGAACACCGGUGGCGAAGGCGGUUUUCUAGUUAAUACCUGACGCUGAGGCGCGAGAGCAAGGGGAGCAAACAGG